rfam:Myotis lucifugus cont2.8786, whole genome shotgun sequence.
UUUACAGUGUAAGUAUUUAUCCCAUGCAAUAUUUGGGACAUAUUUAUACUAAAA